rnacentral:rRNA from 1 species
GACGAACGCUGGCGGCGUGCUUAACACAUGCAAGUCGAACGGAAAGGCCCUGCUUUUGUGGGGUGCUCGAGUGCCGAACGGGUGAGUAACACGUGAGUAACCUGCCCUUGACUUUGGGAUAACUUCAGGAGACUGGGGCUAAUACCGGAUAGGAGCUCCUGCUGCAUGGUGGGGGUUGGAAAGUUUCGGCGGUUGGGGAUGGACUCGCGGCUUAUCAGCUUGUUGGUGGGGUAGUGGCUUACCAAGGCUUUGAAGGGUAGCCGGCCUGAGAGGGUGACCGGCCACAUUGGGACUGAGAUACGGCGCAGACUCCUACGGGAGGCAGCAGUGGGGAAUAUUGCAGAAUGGGCGGAAGCCUGAUGCAGCAACGCCGCGUGCGGGAUGACGGCCUUCGGGUUGUAAACCGCUUUCGCCUGUGACGAAGCGUGAGUGACGGUAAUGGGUAAAGAAGCACCGGCUAACUACGUG